GAUGAACGCUGGCGGCGUGCCUAAUACAUGCAAGUCGAGCGAACGGACGAGAAGCUUGCUUCUCUGAUGUUAGCGGCGGACGGGUGAGUCACACGUGGAUAACCUACCUAUAAGACUGGGAUAACUUCGGGAAACCGGAGCUAAUACCGGAUAAUAUUUUGAACCGCAUGGUUCAAAAGUGAAAGACGGUCUUGCUGUCACUUAUAGAUGGAUCCGGGCUGCAUUAGCUAGUUGGUAAGGUAACGGCUUACCAAGGCGACGAUGCAUAGCCGACCUGAGAGGGUGAUCGGCCACACUGGAACUGAGACACGGUCCAGACUCCUACGGGAGGCAGCAGUAGGGAAUCUUCCGCAAUGGGCGAAAGCCUGACGGAGCAACGCCGCGUGUGUGAUGAAGGUCUUCGGAUCGUAAAACUCUGUUAUUAGGGAAGAACAGAUGUGUAAGUAAAUGUGCACAUCUUGACGGUACCUAAUCAAAAAGCCACGGCUAACUACGUG
rnacentral:rRNA from 1 species